AAUUAAAAAUGAAUUAAAAUCCGAGUCGGUGUGCAGGCGGAAGGCGGGUCACUCCAGGCUGCUGCAGUCGUCGUCACUGUCGCUGCUAGUUGUAUCAUGAUCCAGGAUGACCGGGGAAGGACUCGGAGGAGGAAGACUGAACUGCUGGGGACCUGGAAUGUAGAAGAUCAUCGUUAAGCGUACAAUUUGGUGACAUGGGUAAAGCUCCAACUGUAAAAGGUUCAGCACAUCCCUCUUGGCCCUCAAACGCUUCAAGAGAAAGCUAUGAGGCAAAAGCCAGCUUCUUCCCUCCUCUGCCAAGCCAGUUGAAUUUCAGCGCAAAGUGGUUGGUGAGGAUGUGGCGAAGGAUUCUUCGAACCGCGUCACCAGGAUUGCAGCCCCCAAGCGCACUAAGGUGUGCUGCCUGCAGGGUGCUCCUGGUUUGGGCUUUUUUCAGGUUCAUACACGCUGCAUCAUAAUUGGCUGUUGAAGACAACAAUGAAGUCUCAUCUGGCAUAGCGCUUUGGAUGACUGCAACUUUCGUCCGCUUGGUGUCUUUAUACGGUGGCCAAAAAGACACCUUGCCGUCCAAACUUAGCCACGAGCAAGGCACAACCUCCACCUCGUUUGACUCGUUCCCAUCUCUCAGACUUACCUGAUCCUCCAUCCAAACUCUGAUGUUGGAAUCC